CCGCUUUCAAUCCCGGGGCGGGAUGCCUAUAUUCCGGAUGCCGGCUUGCCGGCUAUGGCGAUAAACGGUGCGUGGAAUAAACGUUGUGGACCCGGGGGCAGUGCCCGGCGCCUCCACCAGUUUUCCACCGGGGGUUUCCCCGGCUGGAUCCAGGGGGGCGAAACAGGCUCGACACGCGCGGUAAAGACCCAUCUUUCGCUCGGCAUGGUUCCGCCGUUAUCGGGCCGUAUGACAAGUGCCAACGACAAUUCGGCGCUCGCUGUCGCUGCAUAAGCGAUAAGCGCGGUUCGGGGGGCACCGGGCAACAGAAGCCCCCCACU
rnacentral:tmRNA from 1 species